ensembl:lncRNA
CUCCGCCCUCUGCCCCUGCCCAGCCCCACGCCACUCCCGAACAUGUUGAGGCCACUAGCAGGUCUGGUGGUUGCUUAGGCUUUUUAGGAACACAUGCAUACACUCCUCGUUGGGUGUCUGAGACAGUAAAUGCACUGCCUAAAAUGGAAAUACCUGAGAACCUGGAACCUGCCUUUUGAAAGCCAGUUUCCCCCCCCCCCCCCCCCAUCCCCUCUAUCCCGCUGGGCCGCCUUGAUCCUUCCCCCUGGAUCCUUGGCAUUCUGAGUGCCUCCUGGACCCUCAGGCUGCCUGAUUGGACCGGCAGGUCUCUUAGAGUGACUGUUCUUGCCGUGCUGUAGAAAGGAGAAAAACAGCACAGCGGAAAGGCUUGAAUCCUGCAUUAUACAGAUGGGAAACUCAGCUGCACAGGCGAGGAACUGAUUGCUGUGCUCACCUUUGACCACCCAGCUCACCUGUGACCACCCAGCUGGAGACAACAGACCUGCCACCCUGCUGUGUUCACUGAGACAGAAGACCUACCUGCUGUGUCCAUCAAUCCACAGUCUCGCGACUAUUGUAAAAGGACAUUUCAAUCAUAUGUGAACCAUCCUGUUUGGGGGUAUAUAACCACUCUGUACACCCUACUUCAGUGCUCUGUCUGCCUUCGGGAAGAAGGGCCCUGGGCCAUGGUCCUCAGAUUUCAGCUCAGAAUAACUCUCCCAAAUUUUCAUUUAUAGAUUGGUUAUGGAUUAUUUUUGUCGACACAAGUCAAUUGAAAAACGCUAUCAAUUUCCUGUCACAAUCAGGCACCUCGAUGGAAGUUACAAAUUUCAUGUUAGGAUGUAAAAUGCUUAAAACCUUGCUCUUGGUCACCUCACAUGUCAUACGGUUGUUAGCGUACAUUGCUUUCUGUGCAGCAGGAGUGGCCUCUCAGAGCCCAGCGGCAUCGCGUGUGUACAUCUCCUUUAUCCACACUCCAAAGCUUUAUAAAGUGACUAGCAAGAUUGAUGGCCUGCAGUUUCUCCAGCAAACCAUUUAGUUUAAAAUGUGUUUUUUGAAGACUCAAUGUAAACUCUAUAAAUAUCAGCUGAAAACUGUACUGAGAGAGAAAUACCUGCUGUGCACUUUGGGUAUCACUAACGUGUUCUUCCAGGAAAACGUUAACUGGGGAUAUGUUCUGUGGGGUGUGCCUAUUUAUAAAAUAGAUGGCAAAAAUCCCAUUUAUUUUACAGAUUUUAAAGAUUAAAGCUGUAACUUUGAGUAAACUUGGGGCUGAGGAAUUCUGAGGCUAUGACCCAGAGUUCUGGAGUCUGGGUCUGUAAGGACCCCUUGCCAGUAUCAGGAUAUAAACAUGCCCUAAUGUUGUGCAUUAAACAAACAGGCCUCCUUGACUCCAGAUUCCUCCCCAUUUACCAUUCUGCUUCUCCAUUUAAGCUGCCUCUCCUCACGUUCUCUCCUGAAUCCACUCCCAUCCAGCUUUCCUCCACACCACUUCACUGAAAUGGCUUUUAUCCGGGUUGCCAAUGAUUUCCGAUUUGUCUGGAGCUGGGUGGUCACAGAUUUCCCUGUACUGGAAAUUUCCUAUAAAUGGAAUCAUGUAAUACGUGGACUUGUGUGACUGACUUUUUUCACUCAUCAUAAUGUCCUCAAGGUUUAUGCAAGUUGUAGCAUGUGUCAGUACUUCAUUCUUUUUUAUGACUGUCAUAAUAAUUUUAAAAAGUUUUUAUCUUGAAUGCUGGUACUUGAGAAAAAAUGAGAAGAAGGAAAUAAGAAAGAAAGAUUUCUCUGGAGAUCCUGAAGGACUUUCAACUACUUUUGAGAUCUCUGGAGGUGGAUGGCACUGAUUCUCAUUCCAGAAUUGGACUUACUUUCUCCAAAACUGGGAAUACUAAGCUGUCAGGUGAAUGUUUGCUUCCCAAGUAAACGUGAAUGAGGCAGAGAGGGGAAGAAGAGUUAUUUUACUAAAGGAAGGGGACAAAACCCAAUGAGAGAAAGAGGAGAGCUGCCUGCAGCAGAAUGAACAGAGCUGUGAGCAGCGAAGGCAGAGUAAAAGGUGCAAAUACAGCUUGGGACAGAGUCUGAGGGGCAGGAGGCAGGUGCGGAGACGGGACCGUCCCUCAGGAGGCAGGGAGCUGGGAUUGGCCGUGGGCUGGAGGCCGAUGCUCAGGAAGAGGUCAGUGUGCAGGCAGCGUGAGGAUGCCCAUGGUUUGGGACUUUA